UAAUAAAAGGACUAAAAUUAAAAUUAAAAUUAAAAUUAAAGGUCAUACAACUUCAAAAUUAAAGGAGUACGCAUGUCGCAUGGCAAAUGCCAUGGACACUUGCAAUAUAUAGGCAUAUAGAUUUGUAUAUAUUUUUUAACAGAUACCUCCGUAGAUGAAACAACCGGACUACAACAUAGGAAGGUGCCCUAGAGAAAUCAAUAACCAUGGCAAAGAGAACACAAACAACAAAAGCAAAAAUCAGUCUGUUGAUAUGAAGGAGUGAGUUGGAGAUUGAGGAUGGUUCACCUUGUCUCCCUGAGAGCCGAGAGCCUUACAAGGAAGCUUGGUUGGUGGUAGAAAGCCUUCAAGAGAAUGAUAACAGUGAGUUU
rnacentral:lncRNA from 1 species